AUAUCAAAGACAAUGUUUUAGAAAAAAGGUACAACUUUCGAUCCGUGGGCUUGAUGGGCAUUCAUGGGCAUGCAUCAGUGGAGGUCGACCCCAUCCUAUCAUAGAAGACCUAAACAAACAAUACUUUUUGCUCGUUUCUCAGGAAAUGAGAGAAUAUGACAUUUAGUCGAAAAAGUGGAAUCUAGUGGAGAAUUGUGGCGUAAGUUGACUUUAGUUUUGUCAAAGACUCACUUCCAUUUCUUAUGGGAAAUGUAUGCAAAAGAACAAUGAUUCAAGACUAUAGGUUGCCUCAUUAAAACGUAAUUAAGCGAAUAAAGUGAUGAAUUAUAAAUAAAAUGAAUGCACGCAAUUA